CCUACGGGUGGCAGCAGUCGAGAAUCAUUCACAAUGGGGGAAACCCUGAUGGUGCGACGCCGCGUGGGGGAAUGAAGGUCUUCGGAUUGUAAACCACUGUCAUGUGGGAGCAAAUUAAAAAGAUCGUACCACAAGAGGAAGAGACGGCUAACUCUGUGCCAGCAGCCGCGGUAAUACAGAGGUCUCAAGCGUUGUUCGGAAUAACUGGGCGUAAGGGGUGCGUAGGCUGUUUCGGAAGUCUGGUGUGAAAGGCGCGGGCUCAACCCGCGGACGGCACAUGAUACUGCGAGACUAGAGUAAUGGAGGUGGAACCGGAAUUCUCGGUGUAGCAGUGAAAUGCGUAGAGAGCGAGAGGAACACACGUGGCGAAGGCGGGUUCCUGGACAUUAACUGACGCUGAGGCACGAAGGCCAGGGGAGCGAAAGGGAUUAGAUACCCGUGUAGUC
rnacentral:rRNA from 1 species